UAUGCCUUGUAGUCAAAUGAUCUGCCUAGUGUGGUGGCUGCUUAUGCACCAUGGAUGUUUGAUAAUUGGCUAUGUAUCUAC
rnacentral:pre_miRNA from 10 species